CAAUUCUCUACCCAACUCUCCCCUGAGUUCUGAUUAUUGUGUCAAAACUACUCACAGAAUGCUGGUUCCUGGUAUUCCACAGACUGUAAUGCAAUUGAAGGAUUGAAGGUAGGGACUGAACCUCAUGCAUCUGUGAGUUCACAGCAUCUACAAAGCUUGGUGUGCAGUUGUAGGGAUGUAUAUGUGAACUCUUGGUUAGCGGAGUGCAAAAACACUGAAUUUAAAUUUAAAAGAUGAAGCUUAGGUGUUGACUCCAUCAUUUAUCAGCUGUGUGACUUUGGGGCCCAUGGGACACCGUAGUGGAGCUGUCCAACAGGUGCUUGUUUAUAUCAGUCUGGCCUGAGGAUUUAGAGUUGGAAAAUUACCACCAUUCAAAGGUCUUGUUCAGUUUGCUGUGUUCUCUACUGCCAUCUGGUGGUCAAGAAGGAUCAAUCACUGCCCUUGCAAUGAAGAACUCUAUGAAAGCGAAGGCUUGGCCAUUUUGUGUUCAGCUCCUUCCAAUGAUGAGGAACAAAGAGGGAACAACUUUUAAAAGAUGACAGGGAUUCAAACACAGGACUGUUUGACUCAAGCUCCAAAUCCUUCCAUUCUACUAGUUGGCCAUAACUACACCCACGACUGCACUUCAGACUCCUGAUAACCAAGCCCCAAGAAUGGAAACUGUUUUAGUGGGAUUAAUACCCAAAGCUGACUAGAAGUUCCCUGAUCCACUUUUGUUGCUAGCAUUCUGGGCAGGAAUCUUUCAAGCCAUUGAGUUA